CCCCAGCACACUGGCGACCCGGGCCAUUUUGCAGUUUCUCAUCCCGGGCCGCGCCGGGCUCGGGGAACGCGGGGAACGCGGUGCACGGAGCGGCCGGCCGCUCGCCGGCGUGUCAGCGCGGGUCUGACUACCUGGUGUUCUGUGUUUGGGAAACAGCACAGCAGAACACUGGUCGGUUUGAUGUGUUGUAUCAGAGGCAGGAGACAAAGAGUGAGUACAGAGAAGCCAACAGGCCUGGCACACAGCCCAGGAAUGGAAGUCGUGUGGAAAUCUGACCCCCGGGAGGAAGGAAGGAGUGUCUAAGGCAGAAAAAGAAACAGGGUAAAGGACACUGAGAAGCAAAGGCAAUGAUGG